rnacentral:tRNA from 1 species
GCCUUAGUAGCUUAUAUAAAGCCCUGGUCUUGUAAGCCAAAGACGGAGCCUCAUCGCCCCCUAAGACA